rnacentral:rRNA from 1 species
UACGUAGGUGGCAAGCGUUGUCCGGAUUUAUUGGGUUUAAAGGGUGCGUAGGCGGCCUUGUAAGUCAGUGGUGAAAUAUCUCAGCUUAACUGAGAGGGUGCCAAUGAUACUGCAGGGCUUGAGUACAGAUGAGGUAGGCGGAAUUGACGGUGUAGCGGUGAAAUGCUUAGAUAUCGUCAAGAACACCUAUAGCGAAGGCAGCUUACUAGCUGUAACUGACGCUGAGGCACGAAAGUGUGGGGGAUCAAACAGG